rnacentral:misc_RNA from 1 species
AAGUCGUAACAAGGUUUCCGUAGGUGAACCUGCGGAAGGAUCAUUAGCGAGAGCCUGUGCUUUCACGGUUUGUGAGGGAGCAAGCGCGCCAUCCUUGUGUUGUGUGUGGUGUUGUGCACUCUGUGCGAGUGCACAUGCAUUUUUCAACAACGCUUUAUUCAUUUCUUUUCUUCUGAAAAUCUUUUGCUCACACGAGCACAAACAACCGAAAACUGCCAGCAAUGGAUCACUCGGUUCUC